AAAGAAUGAUUCUGAUUAUCGGUCAAUAAUUAACCAAGAGAUGACUUGAUGAGUGUUUUAUUUCAGUUACAGUCAGUGAAAUGUAGACACGAAUUUAUUUCAGCUGUUUUUCAUCUGGUCCACUCAUACAAACAAUAGAGUGAUUGUAUAAAUGG